UAUUCAAAAGUUCAAGUAGUUUAAAGUUGUUGGGUUGAUCCUGUGUAAAAGCUCAAGUUGAUUCUAGUGGAAAUCUUAAGAGGAAAAUCUCGGGGACUGGAGUAGGUUGCAUGGUUUAAGGUCGAACCAAGAUAAUCUAUGGUGUGAUCUUUCUUACCAUAUAUCUUUAUAUGAUUUCCUUUUAUCUUUUUUGUUUUGUUUUUAUUUAUAUUUUUUAUUGCUUAUUCUCUUUUUAUCUUGACUUCUAAUAUAAAUAGUUUUUGUG
rnacentral:lncRNA from 1 species